UGAGGAAUAUUGCACAAUGGGCGCAAGCCUGAUGCAGCGACGCCGCGUGUGGGAUGAAGGGGCUACGCCUCGUAAACCACUGUAGCCCGGGACGAAAAACGCCUUAGAGGCGUUAGACGGUACCGGGAAAGUAAGGGUCGGCUAACUACGUGCCAGCAGCCGCGGUAAUACGUAGGACCCAAGCGUUGUCCGGAUUUACUGGGUGUAUAGGGUGCGCAGGCGGAUGGGUAAGUCAGGGGUGAAAGUCUGCAGCUUAACUGUAGAAUUGCCUUUGUUACUGCUCAUGUUGAGAGUGGGAGAGGUUGAUGGAACUCCGGGUGUAGCAGUAAAAUGCGUAGAUAUCUGGAAGAACACCAGUGGCGAAGGCGGUCAACUGGCCCAUAACUGACGCUCAUGCACGAAAGCGUGGGGAGCAAAC
rnacentral:rRNA from 1 species